GUUUUCAUCGCAUCCAGUUGUUCCUUCACUCAGCUCUUCUCCUUCCUGCUGCCCUGUGAAGGUGACUUGCUUCCUCUUCCAACACGAUUAAAAGUGACUCUAGAGGAGUAUGUGCACCCUGUAUAGGAAAAUUGAGUGGAAGAACAGUUUGGCAAGCUCCUGGGUCACAAGUUACAUAUUCCUGCCUUCUCUGCAGGGGAUUAUGUUCCAAGAACCUCAGUGGAUGCCUGAAGUCUCAGAUAGCUGGAAACUGAAGCUUACAGAAGAAUUUUGUCCAAAGGCCACCUAUUCACAGAAAAUGGAAGAUGGCUGUUCGGUAAUGAGUCCCCGUGGACCCCGGAGUAACACCCUUCUUAGUAUGUGGACAUGCUUGCAGAGUGCACCUUCUCCGUGAUACAAGGCUAUUCUUCCUAAUCCAUGGGCUGGGAAAUCCAUGGCCUAAGAUGCAAACUGACCUAACCCACAGGUAUAAAGGCAGCAGAGCAACCAGCCCUCCAUCCUUCCCACCUCCAUUCCUUUCCUGCCAGCUCUCUUUUUCACUUCCUGCAACCUGAUUUUCAUUCCUGAGACAAAAUAAAUGUAUCCUUCACAGAGUUUUCUGAUGUUGAGGACCCAAUGUCCUUCACUCAGUCCUUACUGUACUUGCUCUCUGAGGAUUGAAUACCAUGGAGCUCAUCUUCUUAAACUGCUUUUUCCUUAGCUUCUGUAAGAUAAUAUGGCAUUUGAUUUCUAUCUAUUCUCUGUAAAAAAUAAAAGGUAAAAUAAUUUGUCUAUGUAAGUCCUCACUUAAUGUUGUUGAUAGGUUCU
rnacentral:lncRNA from 10 species